rnacentral:rRNA from 1 species
GUGCCAGCCGCUGCGGUAAUACGGAGGGGGCUAGCGUUGUUCGGAAUUACUGGGCGUAAAGCGCACGUAGGCGGCUAUUUAAGUCAGGGGUGAAAGCCCGGAGCUCCAACUCCGGAACUGCCCUUGAGACUGGAUAGCUAGAAUCUUGGAGAGGCGAGUGGAAUUCCGAGUGUAGAGGUGAAAUUCGUAGAUAUUCGGAAGAACACCAGUAGGCGAAGGCGGCUACGCUGGACAAGUAUUGACGCUGAGGUGCGAAAGCGUGGGAGC